UUUCUUCUUGUGGUAGGACAGAUUUUUGGUGUGAGCCAUAAGGCACAGAUUUGCGGUUUCAUCACUAUCACUUGAACUUUGUGUGCUUGAUGAAUCACUAUCACUUUCCCAUGCAAUGUAAGCUCUUCUUUGUUUGCUGUACCCUUUUGGUGGAGCUUUUCCUUGAUCCUUAUACUUCAUAGGACAAUCUGUUUUAUAAUGUCCAAAUUUACC
rnacentral:lncRNA from 1 species